AAUCUUAGCUGACACAUACCUUUAUCUAGAGGAUACUUUAUACUUGACAGACAGUCUUUAUAACCAAUUAUGUCAUAUGUGUUCAUGAUUUGUCCUAGAAAUUAACAAAGAUGAUUUUGUAUAUUCUCAAGGUGUUAAAAAUUUGAGACAUAUAUCAUUAGUGGUAAAUUUCUAAAUAUUCUCGAUCGAAAGAUUGUCACGGAAGAUAGUGG
rnacentral:lncRNA from 1 species